AAGUCGUAACAAGGUUUCCGUAGGUGAACCUGCGGAAGGAUCAUUACUGAGUUAGGGUUCUUCGUGAGCCCGGCCUCCAACCCUUUGUUAAAACUACAUUGUUGCUUUGGCAGGCCCGUCUCUCGGGACCGCCGGAGGGGUUUAAUCACCUCUGGUCCGCUGCCUGCCAGUAGCCUAUUUAAAUUCUUCUUAACCAUGUCGUCUGAAUCUUUAAUUACAAAUUAAUUAAAA
rnacentral:misc_RNA from 1 species